rnacentral:rRNA from 1 species
CAGUCGCCGCGGUAACACGUAGGUGGCGAGCGUUGUCCGGAAUUACUGGGCGUAAAGCGCACGUAGGCGGCUUUGUAAGUCAGAGGUGAAAGCCUGGAGCUCAACUCCAGAACUGCCUUUGAGACUGCAUCGCUUGAAUCCAGGAGAGGUGAGUGGAAUUCCGGGUGUAGAGGUGAAAUUCGUAGAUAUUCGGAAGAACACCAGUGGCGAAGGCGGCUCACUGGACUGGUAUUGACGCUGAGGUGCGAAAGCGUGGGGAGCAAACAGGAUUAGAUACCCCGGUAGUCCCUGUCUCUUAUAC